CCAAAGAUAGCCGAGCGGUUAUAGGCUUGACCUGCGAAGCUAAAAUAUGCAUUGUGGUACUGGGUUCGAUUCCCGGUCUUAGGC
rnacentral:tRNA from 1 species